rnacentral:tRNA from 1 species
GCGGGAUUAGUUAAAUGGUAUAACAUCAGUUUUCCAAACUGAGGUCGGGAGUUCGAUUCUCCCAUCCCGCA